rnacentral:rRNA from 1 species
UACGUAGGGUGCGAGCGUUAAUCGGAAUUACUGGGCGUAAAGCGUGCGCAGGCGGUUUUGUAAGUCUGUCGUGAAAUCCCCGGGCUCAACCUGGGAAUUGCGAUGGAGACUGCAAGGCUAGAAUCUGGCAGAGGGGGGUAGAAUUCCACGUGUAGCAGUGAAAUGCGUAGAGAUGUGGAGGAACACCGAUGGCGAAGGCAGCCCCCUGGGUCAAGAUUGACGCUCAUGCACGAAAGGCGUGGGGAGCAAACAGG